rnacentral:lncRNA from 1 species
AUGCACAUAACAACCAAACUCAAGUGGUUGGUUAUCUUGAUCAAAACGGCUGCGUCAAUUCGCAGAACGACUUGGCCAAAGAGUUCAAUAAAAAGCUUAAAGAUAUAGUUGUCAAAUUAAGGGAACAGUUCCAUGAUGCUUCUUUCACCUAUGUGGAUAUGUUCUCUGCAAAGUAUGAGCUAAUCAGUAAUGCUAAUAAAUCAGGUAUGAUCCUCUUUGUCAACAUCGAUCAGAACCUAUGAAACACGGACACUCCUCUGAUUAGGCGUGUCUCAGUGUGGAACACGUCUCAUUUCCGACAGCGACACGUAUAAUUACACUGAAUUAUGCAAAAAAAAAAAUAUAUUAUUAACCCCUUAACUAUGAAUUGUUGAAUUGAAUUGUAGGAUUUGUUGAUCCUUCUGGAAUAUGUUGUGGGUAUCAUGAAAAUGGAUACCAUGUUUAUUGUGGGAAUAAAGCAACGAUUAAUGGUAAAGAAAUUGUUACAAGUUCUUGUGAAGAUCCUUCAAAGUACAUUAGUUGGGAUGGAGUGCACUACACUGAAGCAGCAAAUCAAUGGAUUGCAAAUAGAAUACUUGAUGGUUCUUUUUCAGAUCCACCACUUCCUAUUGCACAAUCAUGUCAAAUUACUCAUUAGCAUUUAUAAUGCAAGAGUGGUUUAAUCUUACCUCUAUUUAUUCAUUCUAGAUUACAGUUUCUUUCUUCUUCGCUUUGUUUUCUAUCAAUUUGAAUGAAUGAAUGAAUAUUGUUUAGUUUUUGUCAAAAAAAAUCAUGAAUAGCUUUCGAUAAAGACAUCGUUUGACUUUAUGUAACCGCUACUAUAAUUACAUUUGUAACCGUAUGAACCAUAGUUGAAUUUUAUGGAAUCAAAUCAUUGAUGUUUGUUGCACUUGAAUUAGCACUUGCAAAACUUUCAUUGAUCUUAACAUGUAUAUCUUCGUUUCUUAAGGACGUUCUUUGGAUUAAAAAAAAAUUUCGUUCCUUAAAUGAUAUGGUAUUGAUGUAAAAUAUUUAUUCAUGACUACAAUAAACUUGAACUUCAACGUUUGAAAAGAGUAAAAACGUACAAAUAAAUCUAAACUGAGUUUAUGAAAUUAAAUUGACAAGAAAAUAAGUAUUUGAAAAGUAAAUAACUUAGAAAGUAAAAUACAAAUAAAAUAAAAUAAAAUAAAAUUGGUGGUGUCUAGGGUUCGACUCCAGAUCUUGCAUAUAUUAUGCAUUGUUCUUAGCAACUGACCUUAGCUUAUGGGGACAGUAAAAUACAAAAUUUUAAAUGAUUUGAAAAGUAAAGUGCAGGAAAUAUAAAAUGUAGGUAAGAUAAACGAAUUUGAAAUAAAUUUGAUGAAAAAAUGAAUAAAAUAUUUAAUCAAAUGUAGAUAGUUGACAUUCAUUUUAUGUAUUAGAUUAGAUGUGAUUUUUGAAGUGCUUUAACAACCCUUAUUUAACGAAAAAAACUAGAUAAAUGCCCCUCGCAUAUGUUUGCAACGUGUUCUAGGCUAAAGGAACUAAAAUAGUAAGUAAGAACUUGGAGCAAGGUGAACAACCAGAACCUAUAAACAAUGGGAGAACAACUGAUGAGGUAUGUGGCAAAAAUUCACCAAAGGAUUGUUGAACCAAAAAGGGUUUUAGAACAAUGUUUCUAAUGUUUUGAUGAUAACAACAUAUGAAAGAACAAUUAGGUACUCUAACAUGUAUUCAAGCGUGCAGUACCAUAGAAUUAAAUUCUGACUCAGAAGUCUACUUGUUGGUUCUGAAACACCAAACUCUAAACACAAAGGAACAUAUUUGGUACUCAAGAGGAAGCUCUGAUGACUAAGCAAUGAUCUAAUGAAAGGUUAACAAAAGUCAAAGCUCUGACCUGAAGUUGCAUCAAGCAUUGAAGAUUUUGAUAGAAGAACAUUACGAAGAAAGCAAACUCUUAUGGAAGCACAUUCUGGUGAAAACGUUGAUGGUCAACAUUCUGAUGGACACGUCAAUCGUCAACACUUUGAUGGACUCUGACCAUUGUUGUUUUUUUCUAAAGAGACGUAGCUUUCCAAAUUCUGCAAUAUUAUCUGUCUUCUUCUAACCACACGAAGAAACAAAGUUUUUAAAAGAAAUUAAUUGAAUUAGAAGAAAUAUCAUGUGUGAGGGUGCAUGAUAUGACUAUAGAAUCUAACAACCAAUGACCAUAUAAGCCACUGGGCCAUGUUAAAAUUUUCCCGCUCACUAAUUAAUCAAUUUCUUAGAAAAAGACAACCGCGAGUAUCACACAAAACCUUAAAUUAUAACAUGAGACUAAAAAUAUUGUAUGUGAGAUUGAGUGUGGUCAAGGAAUUUCAUUAUCUUAAUUUUUUAUAUACCAAUUGCUGUGUAACCCACGUGAUUGGUACUCAAAUAUUGACUUUUACUCUUAAAACCUAUAGAGAUCCAAAAUCAUAAUUGUUUCGGGGUUUCGGGAGCACUGAUUAAGGAAUCUAAUAAUAGAAAAAUUGUCUUGAAAAUAUAAACUGUUACUUUUGAUCAACUAAUUAUUACACCACUUUUUAAUAAAAUUUUACUUCUUUUGCCUGCUUAACCACCGUCUCAGGGGCACCGAUUAACAUUUUCCUUAUAUAUAUACAAAUAAGAGUAUACCCUCCUUCUGUAUGGUGAUCCACUAAGUUUUUUUGUUUCGUGCAAUGUCACUAAUGGGAUCCCUCAUACAGUUCAAUACUAUAGUUUUGUUACUCAGUUUGUUUCAAAGUAUACAAGCAGAGGAAUUCAAAUCCUCACAACCAUGUGAAUUUCAAGCUAUUUUCAAUUUUGGUGAUUCUAAUUCAGAUACUGGUUGUAUGUCAGCGGCAUUUCACCCAGCUGUUUUGCCUUAUGGUGAAACCUUCUUUCAUGACGGUGCUGGUAGAGCUUCUGAUGGACGUCUCAUCAUAGAUUUCAUUGGUAUAAUACAAUUCUAUUCUUUCGUCUUUUUUAUUUAUUUAAUUUAUUUUAUAUCUAUGUUGUAUUAAAGCUUUGUAUACGUAGAGCGCACUAAAGCUCUGUAUACGUAGAGUUCGGAAAAGGGUCCCACCAUUUGAUGUAUUGUAAGAGACUAUUUCAAAAACUUGAAACAAGACUUCAAGAAUUGGAACCCAUAAUUAUUCAGUUACGUAACAACAACUUUACUAUUGUUGCGCUAAGGCUCCCCUUUUUCACUAGUCCAUGUUGUCUCAAUUGCAAACUAUUUAAAACUAUACCUUUCUUCUGAAUCAUAUUUCAUGAAAAUAAUUGUGAAUAUUUUUUAUUUAUGCAGCCAAGCACCUUAGAUUGCCAUUUUUGAGCGCAUAUAUAAACUCAAUUGGAACAAGCUAUAGGCAUGGUGCAAACUUUGCUGCUGGGUCAUCAACAAUUAUGAGGCAAAACAAGACCUUCUUCGAUGGUGGCUCGCCUUUCACUCUUGAAAUUCAAAUAGCACAGUUUAUUCAGUUCAAAGCGCGCACCGCCAAGUUCUUCACCCAAGGUUUAAUAAUCUCCUUACCAAUGCAGCACAAAAACUGAUAUAGAUAGCUUAAUUAUAUUUUCAAAUUUAUUAAAUUUCAUUAAAAAUGUAUGGUUUUGAUUGGCAUAGCAGAAAAUAAAACUUCUUUCAGAAGACACUUAGCAGAAAAUCAAAGUUAUUUCAGAAGACACUUUCCAAAGCCAGAGGACUUUGCAAAUGCUAUCUACAUGCUUGAUAUUGGUCAAAAUGAUCUUGGUGAUGUUAUUAGUAAGGUGGGAAAGGAAGAUUCACAAGCAUUGAUCUCAAACAUUGUGGAAUAUUUUGCAAAACAAGUUCAAGUAAGUGAUACACUUUAUUAAAAGUUGUUUUAUAUUUUGAUACAUAUAGUUUUUGUAUUUGUGACUGAAAGUUGUUGUCAUGUGACUGAAAGGUCAUGGGUUCAAGUCCUGAAAACAGCUUCUAGUGUAAAAUAGGGUAAGGCUGCGUACAAUACACCAAAUGGUGGGAUCCCUUCCCGGAUUCUGCACAUGCGGGAGCUCUAGUGCACCGGGUUGCCCUUAUAGUUUUUGUAUUUGUGACCAAUGUUCGAUACUCUGGCACACUGAAAAAUAAGACAACUUGAAUACUCAGUAAGCUAGAGAGCUUGUGUGCAAGUUACCAUUUCUUUUUUAGAAGUAAUGAAAGUUUUAGUAGGAGUACUCCAACUCUAAUUGAAUUAUUUGACCAAUCGAACAGACUCAAACUAGAAUUUUCUCCACAUGAUGUUCAAAGUUUUGGUUAAGAGUUCUACGUCGAAUGAGAUAUGAAAUGAAUAUGUGUUUACUAAUGAUAGAUAAUUCUCACCUUAUGAAUUGUUUUUUCAAGAAUUGAGUUAGAUCUAAUCCAAAUUUUAAGACGAUAUCAACGCAUGUCCAAGAUCCAUUAUGCCUCAUUUUAUCGGGUCUCUCGCUAUUAGACCACUCAGUAUUAGUUAACAGUGUAGUUGUCCAAUCCUAGAAGUGAGAAGGUGUGUUACCGGUUUCACCGGAUGCCACCUCUUAUCAGGUCUUUCGUUAUCAGGCCAUUCAGAUAACACUCUACCUGUCUAUGUGUCUAUAAGUGGUGAAUAUUUCCUCAUUUUAAAAGCAAUAUCUCAUCCAAUAGCUCUUAGAGUCGGUUACCAUAUAUAUCUUAAUUAAAAAUUAAAUCAGUAAAAGUGGUCGGAUGAUUGCAAAAAAUUCUGACAGCAAGAUUUAUAUUGCUUUUAUCUAGUUUCAUUGACUAAAGAAAUUAGCUAUACUGUUUUGGAUCUAAAAUCAUAAUAAUAUCCUAUUUCCUGUCGAGUCUUAAUAUAAGAAUAAAGACUUAAUUGCACUUUUGGCCCCCUAUCUUUUUAAAAGUUGCGAUUUUAGCCUCUUAAUUAAUUAAAAUACAAAACAGCCCUCUAUGUAUUGGAUCUUUGGCAGUUUUGACCCCCAAAGUGGAAAGAUAAGGGGCCAAAAAUGUCAUUGGGGCCAAAACUGCCAAAGAUCCAAUACAUAGGAGGCUGUUUUGUAUUUUAAUUAGUUAGGGGAUCAAAAUCGCAACUUUUGAAAAGAUAGGGGGCCAAAAGUGCAAUUAAGCCAAGAAUAAAAUAAAGAGCCUAAUUAUCUAGUGUUAAGAGUCCUAUAUCAUAUAGUGAUGACAUAUAUUUAUAAAUGGGAGCAAUCAUCACAUCACAAACCGGUUUUGUGGAAUUGUGUUAGACUUAACCACGAUUUUUAAGAUGAUAUCAGAGCCUCUUCAAGAUCCAUUAAACCACUUGCUCUCAGAUUUUCGCUAUCAGAUUUUGUGAGCUGUGUUAGCGACACCAAAUGGUAUCAGAACCUGUUCAAGAUCCAUUGAACCACCUCCUAUCAAGUUUUCACGGGUCUUGUAGGGAUGUGUUAGGGACACCAAAUUGAAUUAUUCUAUCAAUCUAAGAGGCUAAAAUAAAAUUAUCUCUAACCAUUAAAAGUCUCACCUUACCGAUCAUAUCUCAUCCAAAAGCUCCACCAUUUUUUUUUUAUUAAUAAACAGAGCUACAUAUCUUAGUUGUAAGAAUUUCUGACACCAAGAUUUUAAAGCUUUUAUAUAGAUUCAUUGACUUAAGAUGUUAAUAAUUAAUUUAUUAUAGAUCUAACAACAUCUACUAAUAACCUAUUUUCUGCCGAUUACUUGGCAGAAUUCCCAUCCUACUAAGCACGUCUUGUAAAUUUUUCCAAAAUACUCCGGGUUUAGAUUUUAAAAUCUGAACCAGAUUAUUAAAGAAAUUCGAAUUAUAUAAUCCAAAAAACACGAACUGUAUAUUCUGAGUUCAUUUUAAUAUUAAAGGUUUCUGUUGAUCGUCGUAGAAUCUCGCAUAAACAUGCACUAAUAGUCUAUUUUCUAACAAGUAUUUAUAUAAGAAUUACCAUAUUACUUGGCAGAAACUAUAUAGUUUUGGAGCAAGGAAAUUCUGGAUACACAAUACAGGCCCAAUUGGUUGCCUUCCAGUAUUCAUGCCCAUUCACAAUGCCAUCAACAGCCAAACUCAAGUGGCUGGUUAUCUUGAUCAAAACGGCUGUGUUAAUCACCCAAACAACUUGGCCAGAGAGUUCAAUAAAAAGCUUAAAGAUGUUGUUGUCAAAUUAAGGGAACAGUUCCAUGAUGCUUCUUUCACAUAUGUGGACAUGUUCUCUGCAAAGUAUGAGCUAAUCAGUAAUGCUAAUAAAUCAGGUAUGAU